AACGUAGGUUCCGAGCGUUAUCCGGAUUUACUGGGCGUAAAGCGCGUUCAGGCGGUUUGGCAAGUCGGGCAUGAAAUCCUUCGGCUCAACCGGGGGAGGUUGUCCGAUACUGCCGAACUGGAGGGCAGUAGAGGGUGGUGGAAUUCCGGGUGUAGUGGUGAAAUGCGUAGAGAUCCGGAGGAACAACAGUGGCGAAAGCGGCCACCUGGACUGCACCUGACGCUGAAACGCGAAAGCUAGGGGAGCGAACGGG
rnacentral:rRNA from 1 species